rnacentral:rRNA from 1 species
GAUGAACGCUGGCGGCGUGCUUAACACAUGCAAGUCGAACGGAAAGGCUCCUGCUUGCAGGGGUUCUCGAGUGGCGAACGGGUGAGUAACACGUGGGUGAUCUGCCCUGCACUUCGGGAUAAGCCUGGGAAACUGGGUCUAAUACCGGAUAGGACGAUGGUUUGGAUGCCAUUGUGGAAAGUUUUUCGGUGUGGGAUGAGCUCGCGGCCUAUCAGCUUGUUGGUGGGGUAAUGGCCUACCAAGGCGUCGACGGGUAGCCGGCCUGGGAAGGUGGACGGCCACAUUGGGACUGAGGGACGGCCCAGACUGCAACGGGAGGCAGCAGGGGGGAAUAUUGCACAGUGGGCGCAAGCCUGAUGCAGCGACGCCGCGUGGGGGAUGACGGCCUUCGGGGUGUAAACUCCUUUCGCUAGGGACGAAGCGCAAGUGACGGUACCUGGAGAAGAAGCACCGGCUAACUACGUG